rnacentral:lncRNA from 1 species
AAAUCACACUUCCCUGCCAGGCACGCUCACCGCCUGUCUCUGGGCUAUUUUUGCCGCAUCCUUUUGGAGGCACAGCAGCCGGAACGGAGCACGGCGACUUCAGCACUCAAAGGCAGACCGUGAGCUUUAAUGGAGCUGCUGGCAUUAUAAUAUUCGCGCUCGCCUUCCCCAUUGCUUUCCUAAUAUAGCCCGACACCGACCGGGAUUUUCAACUGUGGCGGCGCGCGGAGCAGCUCCCUGCUGUCCUGUCACCCCUGACCUGGCAGGGACGCGCACACGAGUGGCGGGAGCAGAGCGAGGCGAUGCGUGGUGCCGUGGCACGGCUUGCCCUCGACGUUCUUCAUCCCCCCGGGCGCUGGAGCAGCGUGGAGCUGAUAGAAAGCAGAUAGCAAGCUGCCUUUCAUUAGGGAGCAGUCUCGCAGGAGCGCCGGCUCCCACCACGGGGCCCCGCUCGCACCCAGCGGGCUGCGACGCCGGCGGCUGUGCCGCGCUCCCCAGGCAGGCACCGGGCGGCGUUCCCCGGAGCAUCCCACGGCACCUUCGUGGCACUGGCUGCAUCCUGCUGGGGACGGGGUGACAGCCACGGCAGGCUGAGGUCCUGCACACAGGUUGGUGCCACCUGGAGAAGCCCACAAGGGACCCGGUGCUCGUGGCUGAGCGUGCCGGGGCCGUCCCACCUGGCCGCAGCUCCGCGGCCUCCCGCUUCCUGCGCUCCCCCCGCCACCCUCCUCGGCACGGCUGGGGCCUCGCAGCUACAACCAGGAAACUAUAAAACUUUACAGAGUGCGGCUGGAGAGAAACAGGAAUUGCUGCAGUAACUGCCAGAAGGGCCAGCGUUAGAUUCACAAGAUUUUCCAGGGCUUGGACUCGCCAGGAAGGGAUUUAUCCACCUAGGAGGAGCUGUAAAAACUAAAAUUAAAUUCUUCAUCUCGGAGAGGGAGGGGGGAGAGAGAAGAAAAUGCUUGACCUCCCUCCUGAAUGCUCUGCUGGAGGCCAAGGGGCUGAGGGGGACGCGGGGCAUCAGCAGCUGCACCUGCAGCACCCUGGGGGUCUGCCCCCAAACCCUGCGUGGGGGUGCUGUGCGUCCCGGACCCUCCGGUCCUUUGCCUUUAGGAUACCAUCGGGGGGCUCUGCAGGUGCCAAGCAAGCCCUGGACUCGCAGCCUCCAGUUGGGGAAGCGGCCGGGAGAAGCCAGGCUCCUGACACGCGGAGGCAAAGAUCAAACGGCGCUCGCUUGGCAACCUCCAGCCCUGUGCCAGGGGACAGAGGGGUGUCCUGUGCUCAUCCAUCCAGGUUGGGGAGCCGAACCCAUGUGCUGAGUGCUGGGGAACCCACACCCAACAAAGUUCGUGCAGAACCACCCUGCCCGAGAGCCCGUCUGCUCCGUGCGGACACCCCGGUGCCACGCUGCUGGCCGGCCCUCCCCAGGGCUGAUGCACUGGAUUUGAUUUGCAUCGUUUUCCUUUUAUCUGAGUGUAUUUUCUUCCCCCCACUGCCUGCCACAGAUUUUACACUGAACGCAGCAGAGCACUGCUGUGAAACAUUUCCCAGCACCACCAUACAGAAGGGGACAGCGGCACCGGGAACCCCGCAGCGUGCGCCCCACGGCUCUGCGCGGCCCCAUUAUGCACCAACCCUGCUGGGACUUCCCAAGGGCUCAUCCUCCGCACGGCGCCCAGCUCCGGAGCCAGGAAAUGUGGCGGGGCUGUGCCGCCAGCGUGUGCCGGCGAAGCGGGCUCGCGAGCGCUCGCAGCGAUUCCAACGCCCGGAGCUUGCGGCUGGGCUUCGCCUCCUAAGCCUGCUUCCAACUCCUUGCGCGGGGAGCAGCGAUUUGUCUGCAAAUGUAUGCGGUUAAAAUAAACGCCGAGAAUUUUAAUCCUGGGAAUUUGGA